rnacentral:lncRNA from 1 species
CCUCUCUCUGAUCUUCUCCACAUCUUAGCUGCAAGAAACCCUAGGGUUUCUUGGCCGCCCACCCCAAAUAAGAAAGAAAGGAGGCACUGGGGUUUCUAGCGCCCACUUUGUGCAUGCCUCCCUUUUUGUACGCCCCCUUUUGGCCGCUCAAGAGGAGCUCUAUGCCUCAUCUUUUGAUUUUUUGAGGUUUCAUCAAGGGUACUUCUAGGUCCCA